UCUUCCGUAGUAUAGUGGUCAGUAUGUGAGCUUGUCACCCAAGAAAUGACGUCGCUCGAGACCCGGGUUCAAUUCCCGGCGGGAGAG
rnacentral:tRNA from 1 species